GGGCAAUAAUGCCGUAGGAUAAAUAGUAAAACAUAACAUAGUUGAAAAUUUGAAUAGUAAAGUAAAACCAGUCGGUUGUGGUGUGCCGGAACCGACAAAUGCAGUAGGCCUGUAAUAAAGAGGGCCCACCUCAGAGGGUGAUCUGAAAAGCGGGUAAUGUGAAAAGAAGGAGGGGAAACUCGCCAGACCCAUAACAGUGUGAGAGAAAGGGUAGGAGGCCCUUUUAAAGGGGAACCAAGCCGCACGCACAACUACAGGCCCAGCCUUAAAUUUGUGUUCAGGGCAAUAAUGCCAUAG